AGUGAACGCUGGCGGCAGGCCUAACACAUGCAAGUCGAGCGGCAGCGCGUCCGACCACCCUCGGGUGGUCGGAUGGCGGCGAGCGGCGGACGGGUGAGGAAUGCAUCGGAAUCUGCCUCGUUGUGGGGGAUAACGUAGGGAAACUUACGCUAAUACCGCAUACGACCUACGGGUGAAAGUGGGGGACCUUCGGGCCUCACGCGAUGAGAUGAGCCGAUGCCGGAUUAGCUAGUUGGCGGGGUAAAGGGCCCACCAAGGCGACGAUCCGUAGCUGGUCUGAGAGGAUGAUCAGCCACACUGGGACUGAGACACGGCCCAGACUCCUACGGGAGGCAGCAGUGGGGGAAUCUUAGACAAUGGGGGCGAACCCUCGAUCUAGCCAUGCCGCGUGAGUGAUGAAGGCCCUAGGGUUGUAAAGCUCUUUCAGCUGGGAAGAUAAUGACGGUACCAGCAGAAGAAGCCCCGGCUAACUCCGUGCCAGCAGCCGCGGUAAAG
rnacentral:rRNA from 1 species